GUCUCUAUUUCAUACCAUUUCUGCUGGCUUCUGGGGAGUGCUCUUGUAAUUAACAAUUGGUAAAUGAAAUACCAGUCAGAUGUUUGGAAACCACCAAUAUUACAUAAAGGAUACUAAAGAUGUAGCCCAAGAGCUAGCAAUUGGAGCCUCACUGAAUUAGACCAGAACCAACAAGAGAGACAAAGAAGCAGAGGGACUCCUGUCUUAAAGGUCUGCGUCCAAGAAAAGUUAUCUAAUUGAAAUGGCUGAAGCAAUGGAAUGUGAAGCAGUGUCUUACACAUCAAUGGUCAGUUAAAGAGACUUGUGGGCUUUGAGGUGUUGUUUGGAGAUGAUUGCCAUAAACCGG